rnacentral:rRNA from 1 species
CAUAGCCGCGGUAAUACGAAGGGUGCAAGCGUUAAUCGGAAUUACUGGGCGUAAAGGGUGCGUAGGCGGUUGUUUAAGUCUGCUGUGAAAUCCCCGGGCUCAACCUGGGAAUUGCAGUGGAUACUGGGUCACUAGAGUGUGGUAGAGGAUAGUGGAAUUUCCGGUGUAGCAGUGAAAUGCGUAGAGAUCGGAAGGAACAUCUGUGGCGAAGGCGACUAUCUGGGCCAACACUGACACUGAGGCACGAAAGCGUGGGGAGCAAACAGGAUUAGAUACCCGGGUAGUCCCUGUCUCUUAUACC